rnacentral:misc_RNA from 1 species
UCCUUCAUUAGUGACAUUAUCUCCUUGAUUUGCACCAGCAUAAAUGCCUUUAAAUUCUGUUUCAUCUACAAUCACUCGUGGAAUCUCACGGAAUAUACGCGACUGUUCUUCUGCAGUUUGAAGGAGCUGCUUUUUCUCCAGAUAUUGAUCGAGCUCCUUGCGCCACCCCUUUUCAUUCGCUUGAUCAAUGAGGUUUUGCAGCAAAGAAAUUUCUCUUGAAAGCCACUGAAAAAGAAACAUAGCACUGAGUUGACAGACCAAGUUAUCAAGAUAAAGAUAUGAAAAAAGACUUGGCAUUCCAG